GCUCAUGAAGCUUAGUUGGUUAGAGCACCCGUUUUGUAAGUGGGAGGUCUUGAGUUCAACUCUCAACAAGAGCA
rnacentral:tRNA from 1 species